rnacentral:tRNA from 1 species
GCCCUGGUGGUGAAAUAGGUAGACACGUGGGACUUAAAAUCCCAUGCCCUAACACGGCGUGCCGGUUCAAGUCCGGCCCAGGGCACCA